UGACCUCAAAUCAGGCAGGACUACCCGCUGAACUUAAGCAA
rnacentral:rRNA from 1 species